AGCGAACGCUGGCGGCAGGCCUAACACAUGCAAGUCGAACGAACCUUUCGGGGUUAGUGGCGGACGGGUGUGUAACACGUGGGAACGUGCCUUUAGGUUCGGAAUAACUCAGGGAAACUUGUGCUAAUACCGAAUGUGCCCUUCGGGGGAAAGAUUUAUCGCCUUUAGAGCGGCCCGCGUCUGAUUAGCUAGUUGGUUGAGGUAAUGGCUCACCAAGGCGACGAUCAGUAGCUGGUCUGAGAGGAUGAUCAGCCACAUUGGGACUGAGACACGGCCCAAACUCCUACGGGAGGCAGCAGUGGGGAAUCUUGCGCAAUGGGCGAAAGCCUGACGCAGCCAUGCCGCGUGAAUGAUGAAGGUCUUAGGAUUGUAAAAUUCUUUCACCGGGGACGAUAAUGACGGUACCCGGAGAAGAAGCCCCGGCUAACUUCGUG
rnacentral:rRNA from 1 species